rnacentral:sRNA from 1 species
UAAAUAAUCGUGUAGUUAAUGUGGAGAGAUUUUGGGAAGAUUGUUAAAUGUCAAAUAUUUAAUUCGAAGAUUUUUUUUUU